CACUAUCCCAUUUAAGAGAGUCGUCAACCUAUUUUAUGUUUAUAUGUUAGUUCUCAAAUCAAAUUAAUCUAUAGAUUUAUACCACUUAGAACUUCAUAAGGAACCACGUUCAAGAAAAUAAAUAACGUUUUAGAAUAGUUAGCUUGGCUGUUGCUGCAGUAUACAAGUUACGAUAUAAUAAAAGUGCAAAAUGAUCAAACGCUGCAGCAGCACAGUUUCACAGCGAAACUAUUAUUCUCUACUACUGUCCAUCCAAUGUUCCGAUGGCCUCCUGCAGAAGUCUUUGCGCUUCUUCUCUUCUCCUGAACCAACAAAAACGAUUUUUGAUUCACAGAUUCAGAUGAGAACAAGCACAUUUAGAAGGGAUAUCCAACUGCUCGGUUGGUGAAUACAGCUGCUAAACGAAUUGUUGGCUGUACGCAACAGGGUCUUAUACAAACUAAUUAUCAUCAAUAAACACGGAAAAUUAUUCAGCAUCUAUUCAAGAGAGAACACUCGCGAAAUAUUAAACUAAUGUCAUCUAUAUUAAGCCAGUUUCCAUAGCGAGCAAUAAUAGCAACUUCAUUUAUCAAACUAGAUUACACAUUUACCAAAAAAUCUUUUUACAGAAAAAAUAAAUUUUAUUUCGAGAAGAUAUUUACCCUAUCAAGAGUGGUACUCCUCCCCCAACCCCUGGCCCAAAAAAAAUAGAGAAAAUCAAACAUCAAUCAUCUGCCCCAUUCUAAGCAUCUUCAAGACAAACAAGUCCCAUAUAAUAGUAUUUAUUCCCAGAUCAGGAGAACCAUUCUACUCAACUUUUCAAUUAUGUCCAAGCAUACAACCUAUGGAGCCAGUUUCUCUGUGGAUUUGUUGAGAUUAUAUUGCUUAUUGAUGUGUGAGAUUUUCUACUCCUAAUUUUUACUUCUCUCCUCCUAAUCUUUAAUCCUAUUUAUGUGUCAAGUUGUUGAUCAUGUACAUUUAUACCAAUUGGAGUGGGAUUACCACGAAAUCAAAUGGAAAAAAACAAUACCCUAUCAUAUUCCAUCCAACCACAAAUAAGAAUCAAAAUCAAAAUAAAGAAUAUGUUUAAUUAGAAUUGCAAUCAAAUAUAUUUUGCAUUUUUACACUAUUAAAGAAAAACAAAUUAAACUUUUCUUUCUUUAUUAAGUAAAUAAUAAUUUCACAACCAGGAAAAGAAAAUUUAUGAGAAAGAAACCGAUAGAAAAGAUAGAAAAGGAACUUCAGAUAUUUUAAACUUACAUCAGAUGCUAUAAAAUUUUCCCAACUUCGCAUGGCCAAAGGCACUAGACUAAAAAAUCACAUUUUUCGGUAGAUUUUAAACUCAAAGGCUUCCCCAAAUUACUGUGGCUCCUUUGUUUCGAUAACUAGAAUUUUGAUACCAUAAAUAUGUUUUGAUAAAAUAGUAACCAUAACCCUUCUCUACAUUGCCAAGAGGGGGUGGAGAGUUCAUUUCUCCCUCAAAAUCAACCCUUACCUACCUAUCUGACUUGAUCGUGAUAGGCCUCCAAUAUGGUUCACGUACUCUAGAAGGCUCCAGAAGGAUGGAGAAGCAGCUCAGCGCUGAAGAGUAACUAAUUUCUGUUUUAGGGGCAUGUGGGUGGGGAACUAAUUCGGUUAGAGGAAGAUUAUAAAUAGGGGAAGGGAAGAAAGGGUAGGGCAGGCAAUUGUUUAGUGAGUAUUGGAGUAAAGACUUGUAUAUCAUUCUAUUUUUCUGUAAUCACUUUUCCGUCAAUCAAAGAGUUGUGAAUUCUUCACUUGAACUUGUUCUUUCCAGUUGGUAUCUUAUCAAUUGGUAUCAGAGCAUGUUCGAUCUGAUGGCUGAGAAAAAGAUAGAAAUCAGAGUAGAAGCAAUGGAGAGGAAGCUGAAGGAAUUAAAAACAGAACUUCAAUGCUUACCUAGACUGGAAAGAGCAGUGAAGCACUUAAUCCAGAUUAUGGCCAAGAUGACGGAAUCAAUGGAGGCAAUCCAGGAAGAUGUGGCAGCCUGAUUCAUCCUAAGGCAUCCACGAACAAAUCGCUGGAAGGAGAUGUGUCCAGAAGUACCAUGGAAGAGGCACCUCCUACUAAUAUCCACCUGGGACCCUUAGGUGAUCAACGUGCUCAAGAUCGAGGAAAGUGGCUAGGAGGAAUAGGAGAAGCUAGCACCGGUAGAAUAGCCUGCAAUUCUGAUAGAAACAGAGAUGAAGGCAAUUGGCGGAGGCAGCCGAUGCAGGAAGGGAGUUUAUGUGAGGAAUUGUUGGCCAUCUAUCAGGUGGGGACUGCUGAGGAGUUCAGAAAGAUGUUCGAAGCAUUGGCUACACCAUUACGGGGUAUUCCUGAAGAGAUUCUGGAAACCACAUUUGUUAAUGGGCUUAACCCAAAUAUUUGGGCCAAAAUUUGUUUACACUGCCCAAGUGGAUUAGGCCUCAUUAUGGAAACAGCCCAAAGAGUGGAAGAAAAAAAUCUGAUCAUCAAAGCUACAAAAGAAACCUUGGGCCCAAAAUUCUUCAAAUCAAGGCCAAUUCAUGGAGAGAUGAAGACUAGCGAACCUUCUCCCACACGAACAGUGAUAGUCGGAGAGAAAUCACCAAUCCAGCACCCGAAAAUUGUCAUGACACUGGAAGGUGGGGCUAUCCUCGAGAUUAUUCCGACCGAUGAAUUGCAGCACAUAGAAGUUUUGGGGAUGGGGACGACAGGUUAUGGAGUUUGCUUGGGCACUAUACUAUUAGUAGAUUGUAACUCAGCCCAGUUCCUGAUACUUCAGUAUCUCCUUC
rnacentral:lncRNA from 1 species